CGCGUGGGAACAUACCCAGAGGUACGGAACAACAGUUGGAAACGACUGCUAAUACCGUAUACGCCUACGGGGAAAGAAUUUCGCCUUUGGAUUGGCCGCGUUGGAUUAGAUAGUUGGUGGGGUAAGUGGCCUACCAAGUCUACGAUCCAUAGCUGGUUUGAGAGGAUGAUCAGCCACACUGGGACUGAGACACGGCCCAGACUCCUACGGGAGGCAGCAGUGGGGAAUAUUGCACAAUGGGCGAAAGCCUGAUGCAGCCAUGCCGCGUGUGUGAAAGAAGGCCUUCGGGUUGUAAAGCAC
rnacentral:rRNA from 1 species